CAGCCGGCCAGCAAAUGUGAGAAUGAUCUGCAUCUGUUUUUGUGUAGGCCAAGGUCAAGGAUUUCCACCGCAGCUCGAGGGGCUGAGGGUGGAAACCCAUCUGUUCCUCACCACUGGCGGAGACCACAAUCUGCAGCCAUGGAGACAGUGGAAUGCUUUUCCUACAACGGGAUCCGUCUGCCCUAGAAGAGGGGGCAAGGAAGGAAAACAAAGCUGCAAGCACUGAAGAAUAUUAACAAGAGAAUAAGGUUGCCAGAUUUAACAAAUAAAAA
rnacentral:lncRNA from 1 species